CUCUGCCCUAGCAUAGUAUCUAUGUGAUACAUACAGAUAUGUUGUACAUAAAAUUUCUUGACUGUAAUAAUAUUAUUUAAAGUUCAUAUUAAAGAUCAGUUCUUAUUCACAAUAUAAUGCAUAUUAAACUGUUACUGUUCAUGUGAAACAGGCUAUGAGGAUUUCAACAGGUUUUUGCAUUACAGGAUGGUUAGCUGUCUUUUUCUCAAAGAGUUCUUACUCCCUUGACUUGGGAAGAUUUUCCACAGGGUACGGCAUUGGAAUUAUCUCAUACGUGGUUCCUGUGUACAUAGUAGAAAUAGCUCCCAAACAUUUUCGAGGAGGACUUGCAACAACAAAUCAGGUGAAGAAAUAUUAGGAACUUUCCUAUCUUGUUCUAUAUUUAAAUUUCAAGAGUUAAGUGCAAGUGAGUUGAAUUUUGACUCUGACUCUGAUUGAUUUGCAGCUUUUGAUUGUUACUGGAAUGUCUGUUUCAUUCUUAAUACUAGUUUUGAAUUGUAGGCUAAGGUGUAACAAAUUAUGGAUACAAAAAGGGUAUAACUUGCUUUAAGGAGUCUUCGGGGUAAAGAUGUGGAUAUUUCUCAUGAAGCUGCUGAAAUUCUGGAUUAUAUUGAAACUUUUCAAAGCCUUCCAAAGACUAACCUAUUGGAUUU